CCCUCUCUCUCAAAUCUCUCUCUCUCUCUGUGAAAUGUCUGCAACAACAGAACCAUCCAAAUCUGUCACACAUCACCGCCUACAUCUAGAUCCACCACACCAUCACACCACCUACAUCCAAAUCCACCACACCAUCACACCGCAUCCAUCUAGAUCCGUCGCACCACACCACCAUCUCCAUCCAAAUCGCCACACAACACCUCCGCCUCCAUCUAGAUCUACCACAACCACUGCCACCUCGCAUCAUCAACCGACGAUAAAGGCGUUGGAUCGAAGUUUAAACAAAUCUUCAAAGCGUAUCUCGUUUUCUUCUAUCCGAUAAAACGUCAGAUCUAUGAUUUAUACGGUGAAGAACGUUUGAAAUUCGGAGUUUAUGAUGAAUCUUUGUUGUGAGAUUUAGGUUUGAUCCGAACAAAUCUGAUGCGAGUUUUUGAUGAAUCUGGUGCAGAAUAAUGAAUCAAGUGCAGAAUAAGUAUUCUUCUAAUUUGAGGAUGAAUAUUGGAGGUGCAAAAUAAGAAUAAAAAGAAUAAGUUUUGUUCUAAUUUGAGGACGAAUAUUGGAGAAUAAGUUUUGUUCUAAUUUGAGGUGCCAAAUAUGAAGGUACUGCUCUGUGAUGAUUGAUGAUAUAUGCUACACAUAGGAUGGACUCGUGCCUUAGCGACUUUAAAACUUGAAAGAUAAUAGUUGUACUUAUUUUAUUGUAUUAAAACAAUGAAUUCAUUUAUUCAAUAAAACAAAAAUUAUUUAU
rnacentral:lncRNA from 1 species